rnacentral:rRNA from 1 species
UACGAAGGGGGCUAGCGUUGUUCGGAAUCACUGGGCGUAAAGGGCGCGUAGGCGGCUUUGUAAGUCGGGGGUGAAAGCCUGUGGCUCAACCACAGAAUUGCCUUCGAUACUGUAGGGCUUGAGACCGGAAGAGGUUAGUGGAACUGCGAGUGUAGAGGUGAAAUUCGUAGAUAUUCGCAAGAACACCAGUGGCGAAGGCGGCUAACUGGUCCGGAUCUGACGCUGAGGCGCGAAAGCGUGGGGAGCAAACAGG